ACUGACGUAGCUCAAUGGAAGAGCUCCUGUAAGGGAAGAUGAGGGUUCGAUUCUCUCCGUCGGUU
rnacentral:tRNA from 1 species